CUGACAGGAGGGCUGGACUGCGACAAGAUAGAUGACAGGGUUACACGGCAAUGCGUGAGAACCCUGCCCCUUUUAAGCGAGCUCUGUUUUCCUUGCGUGACUGCUUUCCUUCUCUCCUCCAGCCAGCUUCCACCUUGUGACCGGCUCCCUUAACUCAUUCUUUUUUGUCCAUGGGAGGGAGAGUGCAGAGACUGGAGGAGUCAGGGGGCACGAGGGGAAAUCUGGCCCAGGGCUUAGAAGUGAAACAAGAUGCGAGAAGCCUGCUUUGUUCAGAGGGCAGCUUCUUUUACAAGAGUGGUUUGGUAGGUUAGCACUGGAAGGGAGCACAAACUCCCUGCUCCUAGCUUCCAGCUGCAGAGCGCUCUUAGAGAGCAGGAGCUCCCAUGAUCUCAGCCAUCUAUCAAUAGCCUGAUAGAUCAAUUCAUUAGGGUGACCAUUUUACCCAACGAGAAAACGGGACAUCCGGAGGGGCCCCUCUCCCCCAAUGCUGUUGCCAGUUGCUGGAACCUGUAGGGGCCCCCUCAGGAGGCUUAUGCCCAUGGCUGGAACCAUGUGCAGGGCCCCCACAUGCUGGAAUGUUGCCUCCCCCUAGCCCUGCCUCCCCACCUGUGGGGGGCUGGCAUCUCCGCUCAACCCUUCCCACACCGCACCUGACUCUUCUGACAAAAGUGGGCAUUUGUCCAGUUUGCUCUUGCUAACUGAUCAAGUCAGCAGGAGCAAACGGGACAGAUGCCCCCUUUUUUUGGGGGGGGGGGGAGUGGGGACAGCUGGGACAGGGCUUAAAAAAGGGACUGUCCCAGCCACAACCAGACGUACGUUCACCCUAGUUCAUGUACCCACACUGCUAAUGGUAGCAAUUCAGCACUCAGGCUUUUAUCCUGUCACUGUAAAUACAAACCAGCUGUACAAAAGGUGGUCUGCUGCUAAGGUCUUCCCCUUCAAAGUUCCAGUGUACGUCUAGCUUUCAUCUUAAAAAUCCCCAGUGUGCUCCUUCUAAGUAAGUCCUCAAGCCCAGCUCUGCUCCUGUUGGGGCAGUCUCUCACAGGCACCCCCAAACUCCCCUCCCCCAUCACUUCCCCUGUGGGCACUCUUCAAACUGGCUCUCCCCUAAGCCCUCUACAGGGCCCCUGGCUCACUCUUCCCUCCACAGUAACCCCACCCUCACUCCCCCAUCCACGAGCAUGAAGCAAGCUGAGGGGGCAGUACAGUACGUGAGGAAUCAAAUAACUUUUGUUCCACUUCCUGCUUAAAACCUUCAGGAUUUGACAAAUAUUAGAAAAGAGCUGCUGUGGUGGGAGUUUUUGUUUAAGAUGGAUAUUUGUUUUAAAAGAGGUGGACUAAUGCAGUCACAAUGGAUAAAUAGCCCUGCUGGGAACACAGCAAAGUUUCUCAGAGUACAGGCGAAUAAAGCAGAUACAUACCAACAGUUGCGGCCAUGGGGCUUUCAGAGUGGUAGUAACUAAAUGUUGCUACUGGCUGAAGGCUGGUGUGGGCUUGUACUCUGAUGUGAUUUGGUUGUCUCAAUUCCAUUCCUAGUGAGCAUAUCAGAUUGGUAAAACCAAUACCAGUCUCCACAAAGAGGUAAUAGAGCACAUAGGUAGUACAACCUUACCUCCUCCGAGUUCAUCGCCCACAGCCAUGCUAGGUCUGUUCCUUGGACAACUAAAGGACUUUGUCUCUAGGGCCAGCAGUCUGCUAACUUUCAAGAGUACUAAAUUCACUCAGUUUUUUUAAGGAUUACAUUAAAUGUAGAAAAAAGAGAGCCGUAAACACUAGUAACUACUUAUGGGAGAAUCUUGGACAUGUUGCGAUGGACUCCUGUGAACACAGAAAUUUUGGUCACUGCCAAACUGGGAUGGAUUGGAACCUGUGAUAGACAGGCUGUUUCUCACCACUAACUAACUGUCUAAGGCUAUGUCUACACUGGCACUUAUGUCGCUGAACAAAAAGUUUUACCAAUGAAAAGUGCUGGUGAGGAUAGCGCUUUGUCGGCGGGAGCUGCGCUCCUGGUGAUGAAGCUACCGCCCCUCAUCGGGGGUGGUUUUAUUUUGUCACCUGGAGAGCUCUCUCCUGGCGAUAGAGAGCGGCUAUGCAGCGCACAUUACAAUGGUGUGGCCACAGCAGCACAGCCGCGGCAUUGUACAGUGCACUGUGUCGACAUAGCCUAAUUCAUCAAAUCUUCCAGGACUGAUGGAACUUUGUAACACUAAUGCAUUCUUUCCUUCCCCGGCAAACUGCUGCCCAGUUCAGAGAGUGGCACUCCAACACUCAGAAUGGGGGGGGGGGGGCAGAGAAAGAACACUAUAAAAUAUUAAACGCUCUCAUCCACCUUUCAUUGUAUAGAAUAUAAACGUAUAAAAGUCUUCAUAUAGCACCCUAGAUGUACACAGCCUUGUAAAACAGUUAAAUAGCACCCAACAAAAACUAGAACAGCUGCUCCAAAACAUUUACAGGGGGAAAAUAUGAGGACAGGCCUAACUAUUCAAAAGGGGCCUGGAAUUUUAGGUACCUUAAAAAAAAAAUGGAUAUCUGGGGCCUAAGUUCCUGAGCAGCAGCAACUUCUUCUGAAGUAAAUGGGAAAUGAGGAUGACACCACUAACAAACUGCUGCCUGCCUACCAAGCAGUGAGUUGUAUUCACAUGCAACGUGCUAAUACUGAAAAUGUUUCCUUUGUUUUCAGAUAGGCAGUGUGUCAUGCCAUUCCAGGCCAGGCUGCAGUUACGGUGGGAUGUGUUGCUACACCGGAAACCUUAGAAACUACCUCACUAGCCAAAUAAGAACUUCUCUGGGCACUGGAAAACACUGGGAAAGAGCUGCUACGAAAAACUAUAAGGAAGAAUUACUCAGCUGUAGAGCUAUCAGGUUAAUAGUGGAUAUUAAACUCAACGACACAAACUGCACUUGAGUGAGAAGACAAGCAAGCAUCCAGAGUUAUCCCUUGUGGAUGAGACUGAUGCUUCAACCUCAGAUUCUGGUGAGGAAACGUAGGCAUGAGCAGCGUUGAAAUGAGAUAACACAGGCAUUCUCAAACUUCAUUGCACCGCAACCCCCUUCUGACAACAAACAUUACUUCAUGACCUCAGCAGGGGGGACCUGAGCCUGCCUGAGCCCCACCACCGCGGGGUAGGGGGGCCCAAAGCCAAAGGGCUUCAGCCCCGGCCAGGGAGGCCAGUAACCUGCACCCUGAUGCCCCAGGCUGAAAGCCUUUGGCUUUGGCCCUGGGCCCCAGCAAAUCUAAGCCAGUCUUGGCAACCCCAUUAAAAUGGGGUUGUGACCUACUUUGGGGUCCCAAUCCAGUUUGAGAAUUGCUGAGAUAACACAAAUGCUUCUGUUUUCCUUCUGAAUUCUGACCUUUAACAAAGAUUCCCUCCAGAGGCAAGCUCUGUUGUCCCUCAGUGGGUUUGUAUAUUUGCAAAGCUAACAAAGAGGGAUAACUGGAGCCAUUGAGUAGUGCUUUCUUUAUGCUUGCACCAACAUGUCUACAUCUGGAAACAUUUAGCAUAUGCUUCUGAAGCUGACUAGUUAGGAAAACUUUACUGACCACACACAAUGGAAUAAACUCAGCCAGCUAUCUGCCCAUAAAGUAAGAUGC